CACGAACGCUGGCGGCAGGCUUAACACAUGCAAGUCGAGCGCCCCGCAAGGGGAGCGGCAGGCGGGGGAGUAACGCGUGGGAAUCUACCCAUCUCUACGGAAUAACGCAUGGAAAAGUGUGCUAAUACCGUAUACGUCCUUCUGGAGAAAGAUUUAUCGGAGAUGGAUGAGCCCUCGUUGGAGUAGCUAGGUGGUGGGGUAAAGGCCUACCAAGGCGACGAUCCAUAGCUGGUCUGAGAGGAUGAGCAGCCACACUGGGACUGAGACACGGCCCAGACUCCUACGGGAGGCAGCAGUGGGGAAUAUUGGACAAUGGGCGCAAGCCUGAUCCAGCCAUGCCGCGUGAGUGAUGAAGGCCCUAGGGUUGUAAAGCUCUUUCACCGGUGAAGAUAAUGACGGUAACCGGAGAAGAAGCCCCGGCUAACUUCGUGCCAGCCGCCGCAGUAACAC
rnacentral:rRNA from 1 species